UAAAAAUGGAGGAGAGUGUGCGGUGUAAUUCCAAACUCUGUGGCGUAUUGUGUUUCUCUCUCACACCGGUCACUAACCAAGUGUUUCAGAGUGUGUGUCAGAGCCAGUACAGUUCACCACAGGCCUGGUCCCCACUAAACGACACACAACUGUCGGAGGAAAUCCAUCACGUGGAACUAUGCUGUGACUUCUUUUCUCUGCGGUGCGCAGCGUAACAGAAUGGAUCAGCUCGUGCUGUUGCUCAGACAAGACGGAGCCCAGUCCAGCUGCGGGGUGACUCUCCCGGAGUAAAGGACAGCAAGUCUGGGACGUCCUCAGUGAUGGAGCCGCUUCCUGUCCGAGCCCUUCCUAAUGGAGAGAGCAGCAACGUUUGCCGCCGAUGUUUCAGCCUUUGAUAAUGACGACUUAUCCGAAAACUGUCUCUCGAGAAGCCGGAUUAAGUCUGAUAACUGUCAAGUGCAUUUGGCGUCACA